rnacentral:rRNA from 1 species
GACGAACGCUGGCGGCGUGCCUAAUACAUGCAAGUAGAACGCACAGUUUAUACCGUAGCUUGCUACACCAUAAACUGUGAGUUGCGAACGGGUGAGUAACGCGUAGGUAACCUGCCUGGUAGCGGGGGAUAACUAUUGGAAACGAUAGCUAAUACCGCAUAAUAUUAAUUAUUGCAUGAUAAUUGAUUGAAAGAUGCAAUUGCAUCACUACCAGAUGGACCUGCGUUGUAUUAGCUAGUAGGUGAGGUAACGGCUCACCUAGGCGACGAUACAUAGCCGACCUGAGAGGGUGAGCGGCCACACUGGGACUGAGACACGGCCCAGACUCCUACGGGAGGCAGCAGUAGGGAAUCUUCGGCAAUGGACGAAAGUCUGACCGAGCAACGCCGCGUGAGUGAAGAAGGUUUUCGGAUCGUAAAGCUCGGUUGUAAGAGAAGAACGGGUGUGAGAGUGGAAAGUUCACACUGUGACGGUAUCUUACCAGAAAGGGACGGCUAACUACGUG